rnacentral:lncRNA from 1 species
AAACUUGAGUUAAUGGCUGAUUUAAAUGUGUGCAGGUGCAUGGAUAUGGGGACGAAUUUAAAGAACAAUUUAUUAUGCAGGUUUAAUGCUAGCUGCCGAAUUUAAUGUGUCUACAAUAGAAUUAAUAGCAAAGGGAAGCUUUAAAGAGCUGUUGACUUCUCCUUUAGAAGCAUGCAUGAACGGUAUUAAAGGAAGCAUGCAUUGUGUUUCUAUACAUCCAUUUUCGUGCAUAGCAAAUGACUCAUUAAGGGCUGCUGAUUCCUAUUUCCUAUGAGCCUUUUCGUGAAGAUCAAUGGUUCUUGAAUUUUGAUGCAUGCUUGGAUGACAUUAAAUUGGUUGCUGCAUUCUUCUCCCUAUGCAUGGGACGGCAUUAAAAUCCCUCUUCUCCAUGUGCUAUUUCGGUCCCUUCAAUAGAGCCAUUAAUGUGCCGUCUCAAUUAAGAUAAAUGCAUGAGCAGCAAAUUAAAACCUGCAUUUAAGCUGCCAUUUGAGCUCACCUAGGAGCCUUUUUCGUGGGAAACAAAGGAGCCUUAAAAGCACCAUCCAAAUUGAAGGGAUGAAUGGGCAGAUUCUAGAAGUCAAAUUUAUUACCCAUGAUGAACAAACAUUUGCUUCAUGACUAAGGAUGCAUCUAUGGAUGGCAAGGGGGGACGAAUGUGACUUAAAUGUCAUUCAAUGGAUGAACAUAUAUCAUUAAAAUCGGUUCAUGGGCUGAUUCAUGUUACUUAUUAAUGGCCAGAAUUGGCUAUUCAUGUCCUAGUUUUAGUAUAAAUAGUUGGCUUGUAAACAUGUAAAAGGUUAGAAAAUAUACUUUUAAACUUUAUAUGAAAUUUGUUUACUUUGUGAGUUUGUUUUCAACUCUCAUUGUUCUCCAAAGACUCGUCUGACUUAUCAAGUAACCCUUGUGGCAUCAACCCGUCUUUCUAUCUGAACUUAUCACUUUAAUCCCAAAAGUGUGGCGUUCGAUUCGUACUGAGGUUCCUAUCAUUUUUGAUAGCGGGUCGAAGUUUCUAUCCACUUAACAAACCUUCCAUCAACACCCUACCAACGUAAGCAUUCUCCUAAGUUACGGGUUAACACACUCCUAUUGUGUUAGUUCGGCUUUUGAAUACUUAGCCCAAACUUCAUCCAUUGAUUUAUGUUUCAUUUCCUAAACAGACAAAACUUUAUUGAGCCUAAAUAAUUCCUUUUCUUCUAGCCUAUUUUGUAAAGCUUUCAAAUUACUCCAAUUCACGAUCGGGCACAACGACUCGGAUUCAUUAACCGGGCCGGAUCGUAUCAUUUGGUAUCAGAGCUAGCUGAAUCGGAGUAAGAUCGACGUUAUCGGUAUUACGGUAUUGUAAAAAAAAUAUAAAAAAAAUUUGAAAAAAAAUUUUGAAAAAAAAAUUCAAAAAAAAAGUUUGUAUUCAAUUUAUUUGUACUUUUUGUAUUUAGUAUUGAAGAAAAAAAAAGAAGAAAAAAAAAUUCAGAAUUAAAAAAAAAAGAAGAAAAAAAAUCAAAAUUGAAAAAAAAAGUGAUUGAAAUUCGUUUUGGGUUUGUAAAAGCAUUGCUGGUUGCCCGAAGGACCAUAUCUAUAUAGCCACACUUAACCAAUUCUAUUUUGUUUGAUAGCCUACCAUUUCCGACAUCAUUACCUACCAAGCCAAAUCAAUUUUGUAAGCCGACGCCAAACGGUAUUGAUUCGUCGACUUAGUUUGCGAAGAACUUCGAGAGGCGAUAAAUCGAGUGGAAAAAGGCAAGAGUGAUUGGUGUGAGUUCAUUCGAGAGAAGAAAAGCCAAAAGCGAGCGUAAACACGAGUGGAGUGAAAAUUUUCUUUCUGAGUGACUUGCGAGGCUUUGUGGUGAGGUAUUUACUUUUUAUUUUAAACACUUAUUCCUUUUAGCAAAAAAAAUGUCUCGAUAAGAAUUUUCCGAAAUAGACUUCCAAUAUUUGAUGCAAGAGAUGCGUAGAAUGGUGAAAUCAAAAUUUGAUAAGUUGCAUGAUAGAUUGGAUCGAGUGGAGGAAAGAUUCCGACGAAAGCCAAAUUCACCGAAUCAAGAGACAGAGACAAGAUCAUUUCGAAAGCACACAUUCCAUGAUUAUUCGAGAAGAGAUGAACGAGUUUCUUAUGCAUCGAGAUAUUUUCCCACGGAGGGUUAUUCACAAAGAGAUGUUCGUGACUUGCACGAUGAAUCUGCCAUUUCUUUCGAACGUGAAGCUUGUCGUUAUGAUUCUUAUAAGUUAUCAUCUUCUUGUAAUGGAAGAACAAGACAAAAAGAAAAUAGAAGAAAAGAAAGACAAGAGAUGUUGAUGCAAGAAAAUGAACGAAUCUUGAAUGAAAUUGAGAGAAGAAAAAAAGAAAAUGAGAGUGAGAAAAAGAAAAAAGAAUUUGAGAUUGAGAUUGAGAUUGAUAUUGAUAUUGAGAAAAAAAUUGAAAAGGAAAAGGAUGUUGAAAAAGAAAUGAGAGAAAAGGAAGAUGGUGAGCGAGAACAAGAAAAAGAGAGGAAAAUUUUAACUAACCCCCGAGAUGUUUGUUUUUGUUCUGUUCCUUCUUUUCAGGUUUCGACAAAUCUCUAUGACGAAUAUCAACUUCAAUAUCUUCCUGACGAGCGACGUUUUUGCCUGACCGAAAAAGGUAAGGAUGAAGUUGAAAUUGAACCACAUGAGCCCGAAGGUAAGAUAGGUAAGGAACACCUAGCACUUGAAUUUCCAUUAUCUUCCUUGAAUGUGGAUAAACAUAAUGUCGACUUCAUCUUUGUAAAAGCUCCAUGCCAAAAAGUGGUUGAUUUUCCUUCAUUGAUUAGUGUUUUAAUCUCAAAUGGUGGUGAGACGAGCUUUCCCAAAACAAAUUUUUGCGUUGACAAGUUUGGUUUAAUGAAAUCUUUGCUACUCUUUGGCGUUAAUAAUCAAAAUCAAAUUUUUAAACCCAGAAUAUGUUUUAGUACAUUUGUUGGGAAAUUCAAGCAUGACCAAUUGUGUGCGAAUAAUUUCUAUUGUUUUGAUGCUUGGUUGUUCAAUAAGGAAACGAGGUAUUAUAAAUUUGAUUUCAAUUCAAUCCUUAGUCUAUUUCUGUGGUUAUACCUGAAGUACGUAUUUCAUUUCGACAAGGUUAAUUCCACCAAGGAGCUUCGAUUGCAUUACAAGUCCAAGGAGAGAAGAUUUGUGAUGAUCGACGAAGGUAAAAAUGAUCCUUGUUUUUCCAUUCUUCAAGGUGAACAAGGUAUGACUCAUGAGAACUUUAAAAUCUUUCUGCCCUAUUCGGUUGGAAAUAAACAUCUUUUUGAAGAAUUGGUUUUUGCAAAGUAUUUCAAUCGUGAAGUGUUUAAUUGUUCAGCUUUAUUUGAAAGUGAUUUAUCUAUUUUGAUUGAUGCUGAUAAUGCGAAUUUGGAAGAACCCAUCGUUCAAUUUCCAUUGCCAAGCUUUAUUGUGCGAGAUUUCUAUUCAUUUGUUUGUGAUGAAAGGAUUAUGCUGAUGGUAUCUUCAUUUCGUUUGAAAUAUGUUGGUAAGACUAUUAUUGUUGAUAAAUUUGUUGGUGAAUCAAUAGGCAAACGUCCACUACAAGUUUCAAUCGAACAAAAGCAUGAAUCCAAUGGCUUUUUUUAUUUACCUGAUAAUGUAGAAAAUGUGUGGUCGUUGAAUUGUUGUGAAAGCUUACUAUGUUUGAACGAAGAAAUUUGGAAAAGAUUCAAGGCAAAUGAACGUUUUAACAUACCUGAUUUUGUGAGCCUAUCCAUUCCAUGCUAUCGUAAAGGGUUGUAUAAGGACAAACUUUUUAUGAGGGACAAGAAGCUCGACUUGAGGGCAAGUCGCUUCGAAGAAGGGGGAUGAUACGACCCCGCCCCGGAAACAUUUUUGGUUCAGCUCAUUCGAGCUCAAUUCAGCUCAUUGAGCUCAUUAUUAGCUCACUAGCUCAUUUAAUUUAAUUUGCUGGAAUAAAUUAAUUAGUUAAGUUAGUUAUUUUAGCUUAAAUAAUUACUAAGUAUUUAAUUAAGAAAUCUGGACAUUUUAAAUAUGUUUUAUUGGUUUUAAUGCAUGCUUUAAAUUUGUCUUAAGACUAUUUAAAUGUGUUCUAUUUAGUACAGCUUUUAAUGUGUCUGGACGGAUUUAAUGCUGUUGUUUAAUGUGUCUUUAGUGCUUUAAAGUGCCGAAUUUAAUAUGUCUAAUUGUUGACUUAAUUCAGCCGAAUUAAUGAACCACUUUAAGGUGUCUUGUGGCUGCCGAAUUUAAUGUUAACUUAAUUCAUGUCCAGCCGAAUUAAUAUGGCUAAUUAAUAUGUCUUGGUUCAAGCAUGAGAUUAAUUAUGUUCAAAUAGGGCUGCCGAAAUUAAUUGUAAUGUGCAUGAAUUAUUUGACCGAAUUUAUUUUGUGUCUGCAGGUCAUUGAAUUCGGCUAAAUGGCAAAGGAAACAUGCAUUUAAGGAGAUGUUCCCAUGCAUGGAACGACAUUUAAAGGGAAGUUGGCUGCUGCAUUUUUCCUAAACAGCCGAAUUUAAUAUGCCUUGUUGACCCAAUUUUGUUUUGCCUUAAACUUGAGUUAAUGGCUGAUUUAAAUGUGUGCAGGUGCAUGGAUAUGGGGACGAAUUUAAAGAACAAUUUAUUAUGCAGGUUUAAUGCUAGCUGCCGAAUUUAAUGUGUCUACAAUAGACUUAAUAGCAAAGGGAAGCAUUUAAAGAGCUGUUGACUUCUCCUUUAGAAGCAUGCAUGAACGGCAUUAAAGGAAGCAUGCAUUGUGUUUCUAUACAUCCAUUUUCGUGCAUAGCAAAGGACUCAUUAAGGGCUGCUGAUUCCUAUUUCCUAUGAGCCUUUUCGUGAAGAUCAAUGGCUCUUGAAUUUUGAUGCAUGCUUGGACGACAUUAAAUUGGUUGCUGCAUUCUUCUCCCU